AUUGAACGCUGGCGGCAGGCCUAACACAUGCAAGUCGAGCGGAUGAAGGGAGCUUGCUCCUGGAUUCAGCGGCGGACGGGUGAGUAAUGCCUAGGAAUCUGCCUGGUAGUGGGGGAUAACGUCCGGAAACGGGCGCUAAUACCGCAUACGUCCUGAGGGAGAAAGUGGGGGAUCUUCGGACCUCACGCUAUCAGAUGAGCCUAGGUCGGAUUAGCUAGUUGGUGGGGUAAAGGCCUACCAAGGCGACGAUCCGUAACUGGUCUGAGAGGAUGAGCAGUCACACGGGGAGGGAGACCCGGCGGAGAGUCUUAGAGGAGGGAGGAGAGUGGAAUACUGGAUAGGGGGCGAGAGGAGGAGCAAGCAAUGAUGCGUGAGUGAUGAAGGCAGUAGGGAAGUAAAGCGCGUUUACCCGGGAUGAUAAUGACAGUACCGGGAGAAUAAGCUCCGGCUAACUCCGUG
rnacentral:rRNA from 1 species